AUUUUUUCUUUCAAUUUUUAUAAUUUUCUUUUGGAAGAUGAUUUGGGCCUUGGCUAAUCUUAGGUUUUGUGGUUUGAAAUUCGAGUGCAAGUCGGGCGAGUGAGGCCAUCUCCAAUCAUGAAGGAUAAUUUCCUACAUUGGAACGAAGUGGAAAGUGUGUUGUUCGCGAAGCCGAAACUGGGGACAGGGUUUACUUCGAAGGAGAGGCUGAAGUUACUUGUUCUGCUAAUGAUGAUGAAAGGAAAUCGACCCGAGUUAAAAUUGAAACGAUAUGAUUAUUUUGGUUAUGGUUUUGCAUCAAUUGAACAUCAGGCCGAUGUGAUUGCUUUAUCCAAGCUGAUUUGCUUGGUGCUAGCCCAUGAGAAUUGCACUCUGCUGCAGCCAAAAUCAAUCUGGAAUGCUGAUAAAGCUCAAAAGACAUGCUCUCUUGUUGAGAAUAUAUUGCAUUUGGAUCCAAUUGAAGUAAACAUAUUUCAAGGGAUUACUUUGCUGGAUACGCCACAAUUCGGACAGGUUUUUGGAAGGCAGUUAGUUGGACAGGCAUUAGCUGCAGCAACGAAAACUGUUGAUUGUCUUAAACUUCUCCAUAGUGUGCAUGCACAUUUUCUGCUUGCUGGGGAUUCUAACAUUUUACAGAAAGAAGAAGGGUCUGUCCACCAGCAAGCAACAAUGCCAUCUGUGCCUGUUCCAGAUACGCUUCUGUCGAUGGAAGAACUACAUGAAAAACGUUUGCUUGAUCCGCAUCUUCCAAGGACAUACCAAAUCAAGGCAGCUGCAAUGAAAUUUGUGCCUUGGCUUAUAGAUCAACCGCUCAGACUAAAUCCCCACCAAGUGAUAUUUCAGUUUGAGGUUCUGGUUUAGAGCAAAAGGAAAACUUUCAGACGAUCAGGCUUUGCAUAGAUAUGCACCCAUUUUAUCUAUGAGCUGACAUUCAGAUAUCUGGUUAUCUAUGAUUUAUCUGGGGUUAAGUUGAGUAGCGUUAGUUUGGACCAUGCGUUUGUCACUUUUUUUUACCGCAGAGCUGGGGUCAUUGAGUUGAGAAUGAUCAAAAAAUGUAUUGAACAUACAGUGUUUUCAAAUAUUCUCCCAGGAUGUGGUUUCACCGGCCGGUUAGAGCUGAUGGCUGGUUACUGUAUGUGAUGGUGAGUCCCAUUGCCUACGACACGCAUGGAUUUGUUUUGGGCCAAAUGUUUUACAGAAACGGAGAGGUAUCGACUGUUAUGUACCGCCCGUCUCUCAUUGCUGUUGGUUUGCAUCUGUCGAAGCAUUGUGUGAUGAACUAAAGUUUAUGUAUGUUUUGAUGGCAGCUUGUUGUAUCAUUGACUCAAGAGUCCCUAAAUAG